GCUAGUAGUGUUUUGUGGUGGUGUUCGUGAGAAAAUAGCUUCAGGGUUGCUUGAGCCUUUUGUUUCUCACCUCAAGUUUGUGAAAGAUGAGAUCUCUAAAGGUGGAUACUCAAUUAAUUGUCUCCCUUCAAACAAUUCUGCAUUCUGGUUCUCCAAGGCCACCUUUGAAAGAUUUGUGUGAUCCGUUAGCACACCUGCAAUUCUGGAGAGGUUCGUCAGCCUUGAAAAAGAAAUCCUGCAGAUUGAAAGUUCAUUUCAAGAAAAUGCUUUGUUGAUGUCCAGUGCAUCUUCCGAUGAGGGAACUGCGCCACAAGCCAAUGGAAUUACAAGGAGGUUGAGU